AACUCUUAUGAUGUAAAUUUAAAAACUUUUCGUUCUCCUGAGACAAACCAUGCUGAUAAUCAUGGAGACCUGAACUAAAGAGUA